CCUACGGGUUGCACCAGUGGGGAAUUUUGCGCAAUGGGCGAAAGCCUGACGCAGCAACGCCGCGUGUGUGAUGAAGGUCUUCGGAUUGUAAAGCACUUUCGACCGGGACGAAAACCCGUAGCCCAACACGCUACGGCUUGACGGUACCGGGAGAAGAAGCACCGGCUAACUCUGUGCCAGCAGCCGCGGUAAUACAGAGGGUGCAAGCGUUGUUCGGAAUUAUUGGGCGUAAAGCGCGUGUAGGCGGCGUGACAAGUCGGGUGUGAAAGCCCUCAGCUCAACUGAGGAAGUGCGCCCGAAACUGUCGUGCUUGAGUGCCGGAGAGGGUGGCGGAAUUCCCCAAGUAGAGGUGAAAUUCGUAGAUAUGGGGAGGAACACCGGUGGCGAAGGCGGCCACCUUGACGGUAACUGACGCUGAGACGCGAAAGCGUGGGGAGCAAACAGGAUUAGAUACCCCUGUAGUC
rnacentral:rRNA from 1 species